rnacentral:rRNA from 1 species
GAUGAACGCUGGCGGCAUGCCUAACACAUGCAAGUCGAGCGGCAGCAUGCUCACUGAAUCUUUCACUAGUUGGAAGGUUUUGUGAGUGAUGGCGAGCGGCGGACGGCUGAGUAACGCGUGGGAAUCCACCCUAAAGUGAGGGAUAAGCACCGGAAACGGUGUCUAAUACCGCAUAUGGUCUUCGGAUUAAAGUUUUAACGCUUUGGGAGGAGCCCGCGUCGGAUUAGGUAGUUGGUGAGGUAAUGGCUCACCAAGCCCACGAUCCGUAGCUGGUCUGAGAGGAUGAUCAGCCAGACUGGAACUGAGAUACGGUCCAGACUCCUACGGGAGGCAGCAGUGAGGAAUAUUCCACAAUGGGCGAAAGCCUGAUGGAGCAAUGCCGCGUGCAGGAUGAAGGCCCUCGGGUCGUAAAACUGCUUUUAUAUGAGAAGAAUAUGACGGUAACAAUAAUGAAUAAGGAACCGGCGUAACUACGUAGCCAGACCG